GAGCUGUGUUAUAUUAAAGGAGGAUUCAAAGAGUUCAGUUCAUUAUACCCCCAGCACUGCCGCUGUCAGUCCAAGCUUCCCACCAGCUGUACUCUGGAGACACCCGAUAAUGCACACAAACAGGAGGCUCCGGUGGAGAUCCUGCCAUUCAUGUACCUGGGGAAUUUCCAGGACGCCUCCAAUCUGGAACUCCUGCACCGCCUGGGGAUCACCUCCCUCAUGAACGUCUCCACCAAGUGUAAGAACCUGUUCGAGGACCAGUUUAGCUACAUGAACAUUCCCGUUGAUGAUAAUCCCAAUGCAGACCUGGCAGCCUGGUUUCCAGAGAGCAACGCUUUCAUUGAUACAGUACGAGAGAAUCAUGGCAAAGUACUGGUUCAUUGUCAGGCGGGAGUCAGUCGCAGCGCCACCAUAUGUCUUGCUUAUCUCAUGUACACCGCCAAGGUGGGGCUCGAGACAGCCUUUGAGCACAUCAAAUCUCGCCGCAGUGUCAUAUCCCCGAAUCUGAACUUCAUGCGACAGCUGGAGAAUUACGAAAAAGAAAUCAAAUCCCACGAUGGGACUCUGAAUACCUCAGUGUCUGAUUCCUCGAUGGACAGUUCAAUGGACACUUCGUCCAAUGAGACGGCUAGCAGUUCCAGUUCAGGGUUACAGUCCAAUAGCAGCUCUAGUCUCUCCCAGGGACAAGUGUUCGGGGGCGGAGCUUUUGACUUUACGUUCAGCCCCACAUUUUCAUCACCAAAUACCCCACUUCUUUCUCCAAGUUAGCUCCUUCCUAUCUCUUUCCCACUCCCCCCCCCUCCCGUUUCAAAUCCCUCCUUUAGUUCAGUUGUCAUGCAACCAAAGUGUUUUUUGGUUGUAGAUGUAGUUUGAUGUAUUUUUUCGUACUAAUACUUGUGCCAAAUGCCACAACAUAUUAUGUUUAUUUAGUCAUGCGACUUUCAACAGUGCAACUUGUUGUCGAUGUUUUCUUUUUUUGUUCUUUGUUUUCUCCUUUAAAAGGCCAAAACUAUACCACUGGAUGGUGCUAUUUCUGAUUUCAAAAGAUAAACAUAUAAGUAAGAGAUCUACCGUCCAACUAGUGUAACCAAAACUUAAAUAUUAAAAAAACCACUGUAUUUCACAAGUAUCAGUAAAUAUUUUUUAAGUUACUAAAGAAACACAUUUAGUUUAAAGCAUGUUAAUACCGGUAAAAUAUUUGUCAAGAAUAUACUUUUUAUAUAAGCUUCAAUUAUACAAGUAGAAGGUUUGAUCUUUUAUUUGAUGCCACAUGAUAUUUUUCUGGUGUGACAUUUUGUUGUUCACAGAAACCAAAAAGAUCUGAUCAUUUCUGUAAGGAGUUUUUUCUUGUCAUUUUUGAUUUCUUAUAAAAAUAGAUCUCGUGUGAAAUAAUUAGUAAUUUUCAUUUAGAUUUUGAUAUUGGUUGAUAUUUGAUUAUAAUUUUAGGAAGUCUGUCAGGUAGCCGUCGAGGGACCAGUUGAAUUUCUCAGGCACGUUUAAUAUACGUAAUUCCAAUGAAUAUUUUCUUUUUUUUUCUCGCAAAGUCUCUUUUUUUAAUCCAGGGAAAUCACUUUUUUGUAAACAUUUACAAAGAAAUCAUAAUUAUCAAAUCAAAAAUUUUAACCCUUGAAUUGUAAAUAAUUUUCAUAUAGUAAAUUGUUUAACAUUUCAUUAACACCAAUGUAUUUUUUGUUCUAUUUUGUUCUUUUUUUAAAUGGAUAAAAAACACAUAUAUGUAAAACAUAUCCACUCCAACAAGUCUAUAUAUAAGCUUUUAUGUUUAAAAGUUUAAGUUAAAUUUUAUACUUCAAUUUUUUGUCAUUGAAUGCAAUCAUUUUCUGCCUUUUGUUUUGGGUGAAGAUCGAGACACCUAUAAUAAAACCGGAUGUUUGACACCAUCUGAAAUAUUUUAAA
rnacentral:misc_RNA from 1 species